GACGAACCGUGCGAACGUUAUUCGGAAUCACUGGGCUUAAAGCGCGUGUAGGCGGGACGGCACGUCGGUCGCUGAAAGCCCCCGGCUCAACCGGGGAACGGGCGCCGAUACGACCGUCCUGGAGGGACGUAGGGGGACCUGGAACUUCCGGUGGAGCGGUGAAAUGCGUUGAGACCGGAAGGAACGCCCGUGGCGAAAGCGAGGUCCUGGACGUUUUCUGACGCUGAGACGCGAAAGCCAGGGGAGCGAACGGG
rnacentral:rRNA from 1 species